rnacentral:rRNA from 1 species
GACGAACGCUGGCGGCGUGCUUAACACAUGCAAGUCGAACGGAAAGGCCCUGCUUUUGUGGGGUGCUCGAGUGGCGAACGGGUGAGUAACACGUGAGUAACCUGCCCUUGACUUUGGGAUAACUUCAGGAAACUGGGGCUAAUACCGGAUAGGAGCUCCUGCUGCAUGGUGGGGGUUGGAAAGUUUCGGCGGUUGGGGAUGGACUCGCGGCUUAUCAGCCUGUUGGUGGGGUAGUGGCUUACCAAGGCUUUGACGGGUAGCCGGCCUGAGAGGGUGACCGGCCACAUUGGGACUGAGAUACGGCCCAGACUCCUACGGGAGGCAGCAGUGGGGAAUAGUGCACAAGGGGCGGAAGCCUGAUGCAGCAACGCCGCGUGCGGGAUGACGGCCUUCGGGUUGUAAACCGCUUUCGCCUGUGACGAAGCGUGAGUGACGGUAAUGGGUAAAGAAGCACCGGCUAGCUACGUG